rnacentral:rRNA from 1 species
GAUGAACGCUAGCGGCAGGCUUAAUACAUGCAAGUCAAGGGGGUAGCAAUACAACCGGCGCACGGGUGAGUAACGCGUACACAACAUACCAUAUACUGGAGUAUAGCUUCGGGAAACUGAAGGUAAUCCUCCAUAACAUUGCGAGAAGGCAUCUAAUUGCAAUUAAAGUUUCGACGGUAUAUGAUUGGUGUGCGUUUGAUUAGCUAGUUGGUAGGGUAACGGCCUACCAAGGCGACGAUCAAUAGCUGGCGUGAGAGCGCGACCAGCCACACUGGAACUGAGACACGGUCCAGACUCCUACGGGAGGCAGCAGUAGGGAAUAUUGGACAAUGGCGAAGACCUGAUCAGCCAUGCCGCGUGAUAGAUG